AUUGAACGCUGGCGGCAGGCCUAACACAUGCAAGUCGAGCGGAUGACGGGAGCUUGCUCCUUGAUUCAGCGGCGGACGGGUGAGUAAUGCCUAGGAAUCUGCCUGGUAGUGGGGGACAACGUUUCGAAAGGAACGCUAAUACCGCAUACGUCCUACGGGAGAAAGCAGGGGACCUUCGGGCCUUGCGCUAUCAGAUGAGCCUAGGUCGGAUUAGCUAGUUGGUGGGGUAAUGGCUCACCAAGGCGACGAUCCGUAACUGGUCUGAGAGGAUGAUCAGUCACACUGGAACUGAGACACGGUCCAGACUCCUACGGGAGGCAGCAGUGGGGAAUAUUGGACAAUGGGCGAAAGCCUGAUCCAGCCAUGCCGCGUGUGUGAAGAAGGUCUUCGGAUUGUAAAGCACUUUAAGUUGGGAGGGUGGGCAGUAAGCUAAUACCUUGCUGUUUUGACGUUACCGACAGAAUAAGCACCGGCUAACUCUGUGCCAGCCGCCGCAGUAACAC
rnacentral:rRNA from 1 species